rnacentral:tRNA from 1 species
GCCUGGGUGGCUCAGUAGCUUAAGCUUCUGACUUCGGCUCAGGUCGUGAUCUCACAGUUCGUGGGUUUGAGCCCCACAUUGGGCU